rnacentral:rRNA from 1 species
UACGUAGGGGCAAGCGUUGUCCGGAUUCAUUGGGCGUAAAGGGUGCGUAGGCGGCGCGGUAAGUCCGGUGUGAAACCUUGGGGCUCAACCCCAAGCCUGCAUCGGAAACUGCCUCGCUCGAGUCCGGGAGGGAGAGCGGAAUUCCUAGUGUAGCGGUGAAAUGCGCAGAUAUUAGGAAGAACACCGGUGGCGAAGGCGGCUCUCUGGAACGGUACUGACGCUGAGACGCGAAAGCGUGGGGAGCGA